rnacentral:rRNA from 1 species
CCUACGGGUGGCAGCAGUGAGGAAUAUUGGUCAAUGGACGCAAGUCUGAACCAGCCAUGCCGCGUGCAGGAAGACGGCUCUAUGAGUUGUAAACUGCUUUUGUACGAGGGUAAACGCAGAUACGCGUAUCUGUCUGAAAGUAUCGUACGAAUAAGGAUCGGCUAACUCCGUGCCAGCAGCCGCGGUAAUACGGAGGAUUCAAGCGUUAUCCGGAUUUAUUGGGUUUAAAGGGAGCGUAGGCGGUCGGAUAAGUUAGUGGUGAAAGCUCGAGGCUCAACUUCGGAAUUGCAUCUGAUACUGGUCGGCUAGAGAGUAGUUGCGGUAGGCGGAAUGUAUGGUGUAGCGGUGAAAUGCUUAGAGAUCAUACAGAACACCGAUUGCGAAGGCAGCUUACCAAGCUACUGCUGACGUUGAGGCACGAAAGCGUGGGGAGCAAACAGGAUUAGAUACCCUUGUAGUC